GUUUUCUGUUUACGAAUAGUACUUAAUUUCAUUUUGUGAAGAGGUCGCUGAUAUUCCAUGGUCUUGAAGUGUCUUGAUGGUACUCUGGGUUCGGAAAAAAGGGAAAAAAGAUUUUUGAGAACUCUCCGCCGUUAUAUUCAAGUGUCGUCGAAUUGUGAAAAUUAAUAUUUUUCCUUGUCCUUCCUGUUUUCAUCUUAUUUCCUUCGUUUCCUUCUUUGGAAGAAGCAUCUUCGCGUGUAAUUUCAUCGCAGGAGCAAAAGAGCUUUUGUUUCAGGCGUUCAAAACAGCUUUUAGCGUUAUUUUUUGUCCCUGCAAGCAUUCCUUCAACUUUAAGAAGUAUAGACGAGUGUGCAGAUAAGUAUUAUUCUGUUGUAAAGUUAACAAAUAAAAGCAAAAACUUCUAGGAGAAUAGUCCAAGUGCAGACGAUCCGACAAUAGAGCACGAGUGAAGCCAUGCAAGGGACCGUUUAUUUAAGAAGAUAGGCAAUUUAUCGAAAAAAUAUUUUCACGUACUUUUUCACUGAAUAUCGCUAAAUCACGUAAAUUUCAUUAGGUACUAUAUUAAGCAAAUUACAUGGAAAAUUUAAGCGCAAAAGAUGAGUACGCCACUGGUAACUACUACUAGAAGAACUGAUACGGUCCUGUGUUACGGAAGUGCAGAUGAUAUUGCUUCAAGGGGUGCGUCAAGGCUUUCAAGACAAAAAAUAGGCUUUAAACGUCGUCUCCUAGAGGCUGUAGAAAAAAUUCGUCAACAAGUAUCUGGCAGUUAACUCCUCAGCUUCAGAUUUUUCAGAGCAAGGAUUGUAUUUUUGCAACAAGUCGAAAGGCAAGUCGCCUAUUUAUUAGAAAUCCGGGCGGAUCUUGUGGACAGCUUUUGUAAUUUUUUAUUGACAUUUGCACAAUUCGGACUUGGCGACAAGCCCAAUUCGGACGCAUUGUUAAUUGGCAACAAAGAUCAAAGGUUGGCAGCUCUUGAGGAAUUCUCGUGACCGGAUGGCUCCCCAGAAAAUCGCCCCUAGAAGGAAAACAGCUGGGAUUAUGACUUGUACCCGGAACGACGUGAGCCCUUGGUAUAAGCCAGACAAUAUCUCCAGCUUCGGCUCGGUGGACUGCUACUGCUAGACAAAAAAGGCUUAGGAAGAGUACCAGGUUAUGGGAAUGCCGGCACGAAAAGAGAUGUUUUAUUUAAUGAUGUCAAAGAAACGUAAAUUGUUAUUUCAAAGUUAAAAAUUAGAAUUUUCUGUAAAAAAUAAUCAAAAAUAAACUUAAAUGCGCCAUC